AACGCUAGCUACAGGCUUAACACAUGCAAGUCGAGGGGCAUCAGGAAGAAAGCUUGCUUUCUUUGCUGGCGACCGGCGCACGGGUGAGUAACACGUAUCCAACCUGCCCUUUACUCGGGGAUAGCCUUUCGAAAGAAAGAUUAAUACCCGAUGGCAUAAUGAUUCCGCAUGGUUUCAUUAUUAAAGGAUUCCGGUAAAGGAUGGGGAUGCGUUCCAUUAGGUUGUUGGUGAGGUAACGGCCCACCAAGCCUUCGAUGGAUAGGGGUUCUGAGAGGAAGGUCCCCCACAUUGGAACUGAGACACGGUCCAAACUCCUACGGGAGGCAGCAGUGAGGAAUAUUGGUCAAUGGGCGGUAGCCUGAACCAGCCAAGUAGCGUGAAGGAUGAAGGCUCUAUGGGUCGUAAACUUCUUUUAUAUAAGAAUAAAGUGCAGUAUGUAUACUGUUUUGUAUGUAUUAUAUGAAUAAGGAUCGGCUAACUCCGUGCCAGCAGCCGCGGUAAUACGGAGGAUCCGAGCGUUAUCCGGAUUUAUUGGGUUUAAAGGGAGCGUAGGUGGACUGGUAAGUCAGUUGUGAAAGUUUGCGGCUCAACCGUAAAAUUGCAGUUGAUACUGUCAGUCUUGAGUACAGUAGAGGUGGGCGGAAUUCGUGGUGUAGCGGUGAAAUGCUUAGAUAUCACGAAGAACUCCGAUUGCGAAGGCAGCUCACUGGACUGCAACUGACACUGAUGCUCGAAAGUGUGGGUAUCAAACAGGAUUAGAUACCCUGGUAGUCCACACAGUAAACGAUGAAUACUCGCUGUUUGCGAUAUACAGUAAGCGGCCAAGCGAAAGCAUUAAGUAUUCCACCUGGGGAGUACGCCGGCAACGGUGAAACUCAAAGGAAUUGACGGGGGCCCGCACAAGCGGAGGAACAUGUGGUUUAAUUCGAUGAUACGCGAGGAACCUUACCCGGGCUUAAAUUGCAGUGGAAUGAUGUGGAAACAUGUCAGUGAGCAAUCACCGCUGUGAAGGUGCUGCAUGGUUGUCGUCAGCUCGUGCCGUGAGGUGUCGGCUUAAGUGCCAUAACGAGCGCAACCCUUAUCUUCAGUUACUAACAGGUCAUGCUGAGGACUCUGGAGAGACUGCCGUCGUAAGAUGUGAGGAAGGUGGGGAUGACGUCAAAUCAGCACGGCCCUUACGUCCGGGGCUACACACGUGUUACAAUGGGGGGUACAGAAGGCAGCUAGCGGGUGACCGUAUGCUAAUCCCAAAAGCCCCUCUCAGUUCGGAUCGAAGUCUGCAACCCGACUUCGUGAAGCUGGAUUCGUUAGUAAUCGCGCAUCAGCCACGGCGCGGUGAAUACGUUCCCGGGCCUUGUACACACCGCCCGUCAAGCCAUGGGAGCCGGGGGUACCUGAAGUACGUAACCGCAAGGAUCGUCCUAGGGUAAAACUGGUGACUG
rnacentral:rRNA from 1 species